rnacentral:rRNA from 1 species
GACGAACGCUGGCGGCGUGCCUAAUACAUGCAAGUAGAACGCAGUUUCGAACGGGUGAGUAACGCGUAGGUAACUUCCUCAAAGCGGGGGAUAACUAUUGGAAACGAUAGCUAAUACCGCAUACUUUGAGAUAGGCCUGCGUUGUAUUAGCUAGUUGGUGGGGGAAAGGCUCACCAAGCCGACGAUCGAUAGGCGACCUGAGAGGGGGAUGGGCAACAACUGGACUGAGAAACGGGCCAGGGUCCCACGGGAGGCAGCAGUAGGAAAUCGUCGGAAAUGGAUGGAAGUCUGGCCGAGCAACCCCGCGUUAGUGAAGAAGGUUCUCGGGAUGUAAAGCUCUGUUGGUAGAGAAGCGGUAACUAACCAGAAAGGGACGGCUAACUACGUGCCAGCCGCCGCGGUAAUAC